GACAGAGGAUGCAAACGUUGCUCGGAUUUACUGGGCGUAAAGCGCGUGUAGGCGGCUGGUCAAGCGUGGUGUGAAAUCUCCGGGCUCAACCCGGAAACUGCAUUGCGAACUGACCUAGCUGGAGUGCAGGAGAGGGCAGCGGAAUUCCCGGUGUAGCGGUGAAAUGCGUAGAUAUCGGGAAGAACACCAGUGGCGAAGGCGGCUGCCUGGCCUGUAACUGACGCUGAGACGCGAAAGCGUGGGGAGCGAACCGG
rnacentral:rRNA from 1 species